rnacentral:rRNA from 1 species
AUGGCAGCCUCCAUGAUCACCUCGCCGAUUGUGGCGCCGACGAGCCUGCCGUCCCUCUCCCGCCGGGGCUCCUCCUUCGCCGUCGUCUGCAGCGGUGGCAAGAAGAUCAAGGUCGACAAGCCCCUCGGACUCGGAGGCGGCUUGACAGUCGACAUCGACGCCAACGGCAGGAAGGUCGGCAAGAAGGGCGUGUACCAGUUUGUUGACAAGUACGGCGCCAACGUCGACGGCUACAGCCCAAUCUACACGCCGGAGGAAUGGUCUGAAUCUGGUGACCGCUACGCCGGCGGAACGACCGGGCUUCUUAUCUGGGCCGUCACCCUCGCCGGCCUCCUCGGCGGCGGCGUCCUCCUCGUCUACAACACCAGCGCUCUCGCCGGCUAA